UUUUUUUUUUUUUUUAAAUCUUUUUAACCUUUUUGUCUUUUUCUUUCAGAUUAUCCAGAGAUGGCACCAGGACUAGUGAAUGUUUUCUUAGGAUUAAAAACUUAUUCCCAUCUAAAUAAACCACUUAUAUUGGAUGCUAUACCUCUGCUCGUAUUUGUUGGACUACCUCAUGUCACAUAACACAUUGCUCUCUCGCCAGAUCUGUGGAAAGAACAAUGAAGUGGAACAUCAUCUCCCUCCAUCACAGGAAGUACAGGGCUCUUAAGGAUCACACCAUGAGCUAAAAUAUUCACACCAGUACACUCCAGUGUCUUGUGGGUAAGCAUCGUCGAUGAUGCAGGAGGACCCGCGUUCCCAGCCAUACUGGCAUGUCUGAG